CCUACGGGCGGCUGCAGUGGGGAAUAUUGGACAAUGGGCGAAAGCCUGAUCCAGCCAUGCCGCGUGUGUGAAGAAGGCCUUCGGGUUGUAAAGCACUUUCAGUGGGGAAGAAAGCCUUGGGGCUAAUACCCUCGAGGAAGGACAUCACCCACAGAAGAAGCACCGGCUAACUCCGUGCCAGCAGCCGCGGUAAUACGGAGGGUGCGAGCGUUAAUCGGAAUUACUGGGCGUAAAGCGCGCGUAGGCGGUCUGAUAAGCCGGUUGUGAAAGCCCCGGGCUCAACCUGGGAACGGCAUCCGGAACUGUCAGGCUAGAGUGCAGGAGAGGAAGGUAGAAUUCCCGGUGUAGCGGUGAAAUGCGUAGAGAUCGGGAGGAAUACCAGUGGCGAAGGCGGCCUUCUGGACUGACACUGACGCUGAGGUGCGAAAGCGUGGGUAGCAAACAGGAUAGAUACCCCGGUAGUC
rnacentral:rRNA from 1 species